rnacentral:rRNA from 1 species
UGGGGAAUAUUGGACAAUGGAGGCAACUCUGAUCCAGCAAUUCUGUGUGUGUGAAGAAGGUUUUAGGACUGUAAAACACUUUUAGUAGGGAAGAAAGAAAUGACGGUACCUACAGAAGAAGCGACGGCUAAAUACGUGCCAGCAGCCGCGGUAAUACGUAUGUUGCGAGCGUUAUCCGGAAUUAUUGGGCUUAAAGGGCAUCUAGGCGGUAAGACAAGUUGAAGGUGAAAACCUGUGGCUCAACCAUAGGCUUGCCUACAAAACUGUUGAACUAGAGUACUGGAAAGGUGGGUGGAACUACACGAGUAGAGGUGAAAUUCGUAGAUAUGUGUAGGAAUGCCGAUGAUGAAGAUAACUCACUGGACAGCAACUGACGCUGAAGUGCGAAAGCUAGGGGAGCAAACAGG